rnacentral:rRNA from 1 species
GACAGAGGGUGCAAACGUUGUUUGGAUUUACUGGGCGUAAAGCGCGUGUAGGCGGCUUUGCAAGUCGGAUGUGAAAGCCCACGGCUCAACCGUGGAAGUGCAUCCGAAACUGCAUGGCUGGAGUCUCGGAGAGGAAGGUGGAAUGCUUGGUGUAGAGGUGAAAUUCGUAGAUAUCAAGCAGAACACCUGCGGCGAAGGCGGCCUUCUGGACGAUGACUGACGCUGAGACGCGAAAGCGUGGGGAGCGAACGGG